ACAAUACACUCAGACACUCCAACCCAAAAUCCUCCCAUCUGCCUGUGAUACAAUUACCUUACACAAUGGGUUAAUAUAAUUAUCACAGACAGGAAAAUACAGUUUUACACAAUAUUCAUAACUUUAAAAGUAUGCAUCACAUUCACAGAAAUUGUCCUGUGUAUAGCGUAGCAAGUGUAAUUCCCUGGAUAAAUAGUGACACCAUUGGGUG